ACGGGGGGAGCGAGCGUUGUUCGGAAUCACUGGGCGUAAAGCGUGCGCAGGCGGAUUGACAAGUCAGAAGUGAAAUCCCAGGGCUUAACCCUGGAACUGCUUUUGAAACUAUCUUUCUAGAGUAUGGUAGAGGUUGGGAGAAUUCCUAGUGUAGAGGUGAAAUUCGUAGAUAUUAGGAGGAAUACCAGUGGCGUAGGCGCCCAACUGGACCAUUACUGACGCUCAGGCACGAAAGCGUGGGGAGCAAACAGG
rnacentral:rRNA from 1 species